GUUACACCCGUUCCCAUCCCGAACACGAAGGUUAAGCCUCACAGCGCCGAUGGUACUGCUCGGGAGACCGAGUGGAAGAGUAGGUCGUUGCCAGGU
rnacentral:rRNA from 1 species